rnacentral:rRNA from 1 species
GACCAGACUCCUACGGGAGGCAGCAGUGGGGAAUAUUGGACAAUGGGGGAAACCCUGAUCCAGCGACGCCGCGUGAGUGAAGAAGUAUUUCGGUACGUAAAGCUCUAUCAGCAGGAAAGAAAAUGACGGUACCUGACUAAGAAGCCCCGGCUAACUACGUGCCAGCAGCCGCGGUAAUACGUAGGGGGCAAGCGUUAUCCGGAUUUAUUGGGUUUAAAGGGUGCGCAGGCGGCGUGUCAAGUCAGCGGUAAAAUGGCGGGGCUCAACCCCGGCCGGCCGUUGAAACUGGCGUGCUCGAGUUGGAGAGAAGUAUGCGGAAUUCGUGGUGUAGCGGUGAAAUGCAUAGAUAUCACGAAGAACCCCG